AGGAACACCAAGUGAGGUGAUGUACAUACAACCAUGUGGAGGAACACCAUGUGAGGUGAUGUACAUACAACCAUGUGGAGGAACACCAUGUGAGGUGAUGUACAUACAACCAUGUG